rnacentral:rRNA from 1 species
UACAGAGGGUGCAAGCGUUAAUCGGAAUUACUGGGCGUAAAGAGCACGUAGGUGGAUACCUAAGUCGAAUGUGAAAUCCCUGGGCUUAACCUAGGAACUGCAUACGAUACUGGGUGUCUAGAGUAUGGUAGAGGGAAGUGGAAUUUCCGGAGUAGCGGUGAAAUGCGUAGAUAUCGGAAGGAACACCAGUGGCGAAGGCGGCUUCCUGGACUAAUACUGACGCUGAGGAGCGAAAGCGUGGGGAGCAAACAGG